rnacentral:tRNA from 1 species
UAGAAAGUGGUGUAGAGGAAGCACUAGGAGUUUUGAUCUCCUCAGGUAGGGUUCAAACCCCUUCUUUCUAA